GAAUGUGAUCAUACUGGUACUAACACACUGGAUCCCAUUAAAAUUCCGAAAUUAAACAUGUUUGGGCAAGAGCAGCAGUAGGAUGGGUUACCCCUAGGAAGUCCUCAUAUGACAUCAC
rnacentral:rRNA from 1 species